GAGACUGUUCUUGGAAUGCAAGCUAUUGCC
rnacentral:piRNA from 1 species